AACCUCUGUAUACUAACCACCUAUGUGUUCAUUGGCUAGCUUCUGAGUCUUAGAGUGGACCCCAGGUUUCACAAAUGCUAGAGAUGUAGGAUCCCUUGGGAAAAGGGGUGUUUUUUGGUUUGCUAUUUUGGGAUGGAAGGUAAGGAUUUGUACCUUUUUUCUGUCUUGAAGUAAUUUUUAAACAACCAAAUACGCAACAUAAGAACAGAUACAAAGCUUUAGCGUGUUGGAAAACGCUCUGAUUAGUGUACAACUUCCAAACCAGCUGUUACCCUUCCUCUCUCUGGCUUUAAGGUUCCUGGCUGGUUGCAGUGGUAAACACUAAGUAACUUUAUGUUUCUAAGGCUGUAUUAAAUUGUGCCCUUCACAGUGUUGUGUCAUAGGGGGUUGGCUUUGGGGAGCUGAGAAGAAACCUGCCUUGAAGGGCCAGUGCCUAGCUGGUUGCACAUUUGUCCUUGCCUCUGUAGGGUGGUGGAUUAUUGGCUUAUAGAGGUAGUUUACAGAGACUGGUUUAAAUCACGAGAAUAACUAACCAACCCCUGGCCUCUGAACCAUGUAUGUACAUAUACCGAUCCAGCCUAUUUCUUGGUAAAAUGCAGAAUUCAAAUUGGGCACACAUUAGACCAGCUUUACCUUCGACUUCAUUUACGCUUUUAUUGACUCUGACAUAAGGUGUGAGUAUUUGACUUUCUUUGUUGGUGGCAGUGAUCUGUAACACUCAGCACUUUCUAGGUGAGCUAAACCAAGAAAAUCCACAGUGACUGGCUAAGGCUGCAACUUCAUUGGAAGGCAAGUGAAAAAGCAUCAGAGGCCUCCUGCCUCAAGGCUGGCCUCCUGGGAGCUCAGUACACAGUAGUGUGGCUCUGGGCCUCUGCAAGGGCCUUCAAGCUUGGCUGUCCUCAUACACGAAAUUAGAAUGUGGGAGUAGUUGGCGUUGAAGGUCUUCACAUUUAAAGGGAUAUAAAACGAUACAUGAAACUAGAAUAUUCAUUUAGCUCAGAAAAUCUCAACACGUGGUAGGUAAGAUGCUAUGUAACUUACGGGAACAGGAGACUCGGGACGUCUUGUCUGAAAGUGGGUUUCAAGAGUGAAGUCUGAUACACUACCACUAAAUGUACUUGGUCUGAGUUAAAUAACCUUAAGGUAUUUCCCAGCUUCCAGCUGGUUAGCCUUUAGCAAGAGAGCUACAAGUGCAUUGUCCUUAAGGAGCCUUAUGUACACAGACGUUCUUUUCUCUGCACGUGUCAAGGGAAGGUGACCAGUCCCAGCCAUGCCUGGGACAAGGGUCCCAGAUAUGCAAUGCUAAGUGCCAACCAAAGUGAGUCCUAGGGGUCCUGGGAGGAGUUGUCCCCUUAGGUGUCCUCAGGACUUAUUCUCAUACUGAUGUCAUCCUAGCUGAUAACUGUGUUGGGUUAUGCCAUGGCUGUCAAUAUUUUUAGGACUCAACCCCUGUAUUCUGUAUUCAUUACUGUGGAUGCAACCUAAGAUUUACAAUAAAUAACACAAAG
rnacentral:lncRNA from 1 species